AUUACGUAAAUGGUACAAAUGAACGUUGACCUCUAACAUGAAGAAUACCAGAAUUAUAUUAGUGAUGAAUAAACGAGAUGUGGUAACUACUGGUGUAUGAGAGGCGGGGCCGCGAGCGCUCACGUUCGGCCAGUGCUGCCGGGGAUGGCAGAGAAUAACAAUGUGCUGGAGGAAGAUGCGGCACGCGCCCUCACCAAGCUUCGUCUCUUGUGCACGAAAAUGGUUCAGGACGCUAGAGAUGCGGGCGUCACCACGGAAGAGAUUAAAGCCGCAUAUACGGUGAUGAAGUACAAUGAGUUAGAUGAUAGUGUCAAUGAAGAUAAAAGCAAAUGCGGCGAUUCCACCAGAGUAGUGAGUGCCAAGCAGUGGCACUGGCACCAGUGGGCGGGUGUGGGGGCUCUGGUGGCGCUGCUGGUAGCUGUUAUAUUGUGUUACUACGGUGAUAUUGUUAAAACCCACUUGAUUACCUCCAAAUGCUUGGUCAGAAAUAAUUAUAUUGUAAUGGAAGCCACUCGGCCACCCACCAAGUGCGGGCGUGUGUGCAGCGGUGUGGGCGGUGCCCUGGAGCUAAGUGCCAAUAUUUCGCGGGAGGAGUUUGAACGGUGGGCGUACCUCUCAAGGCCGCUGGUGGUGAGGGGAGGUGCCGCCCACUGGCUAGCACUAGACAAGUUUUCGGUGGGCUUCCUGCGGAGUUUAUAUGACAGUAUCGAGGGAUCCUACGAGGCUGUUGCAGAGGACUGUCAAUUCUUGCCUUUCCGUAGCGAGUUUCUUGACCUUAGGACAGCUCUUGCCAUGCACCCUGCUCGCGCCGCCGCCCGACCCGGCACCAAACACUGGUAUUUUGGCUGGGUUCAUUGAAGACCUUGCUUGCACCUACCGCGUCCUCCUCCUCUUCUCAUUCUCACCAAUUAUCUUCAGGAGUAACUGUUCCCCCGGGGUUAGCAGCGUCCUGAGGCAACUAGCUCCCCGCCCUUC
rnacentral:misc_RNA from 1 species